rnacentral:rRNA from 1 species
GACGAACGCUGGCGGCGUGCUUAACACAUGCAAGUCGAACGGAAAGGCCCUGCGCUUGUGGGGUGCUCAAGUGGCGAAAGGGUGAGUAACACGUGAGUAACCUGCCCUUGACUUUGGGAUAACUUCAGGAAACUGGGGCUACUACCGGAUAGGAGCUCCUGCUGCAUGGUGGGGGUUGGAAAGUUUCGGCGGUUGGAGAUGGACUCGCGGCUUAUCAGCGUGAUGGUGGGGUAGUGGCUUACCAAGGAGUUGACGGGUAGCCGGCAUGAGAGGGUGACCGGCCACAUUGCGACUGAGAGACGGCGCAGACUCCUACGGGAGGCAGCAGUGGGGAAUAUUGCACAGUGGGCGGAAGCCUGAUGCAGCAGCGCCGCGUGCGGGAUCACGGCCUUCGGGUGGUAAACCGCUUUCGCCUGUGACGUAGCGUGCGUGACGGUAAUGGGUAAAGAAGCACCGGCUAACUACGUG